rnacentral:miRNA from 1 species
AUGAAGGGGUUAGACUAGAUU